GUCCAGCAGCCGCGGUAAUACCGGCAGCCCGAGUGAUGACCGAUCUUAUUGGGCCUAAAGCGUCCGUAGCUGGCCGACCAAGUCUCCCGGGAAAUCCACCCGCCCAACGGGUGGGCGUCCGGUAGAAACUGGCCGGCUUGGAACCGGAAGGCUCGAAGGGUACGUUCGGGGUAGGAGUGAAAUCCCAUAAUCCCGCACGGACCACCGAUGGCGAAAGCACUUCGAGAAAACGGAUCCGACAGUGAGGGACGAAAGCCAGGGUCUCCAACCGGAUUAGAAACCCGGGUAGUCC
rnacentral:rRNA from 1 species